GCCUGCCCAGUGACUUUGUUCAACGGCCGCGGUAUCCUAACCGUGCGAAGGUAGCGUAAUCACUUGUCUUUUAAAUGAGGACUUGUAUGAAUGGCAUCACGAGGGUUAUACUGUCUCCUUUUUCUAAUCAGUGAAACUAAUCUUCCCGUGAAGAAGCGGGAAUAAAUAUAUAAGACGAGAAGACCCUAUGGAGCUUUAAACUUAAUAACAAAUACUAACCUUACUUCAACUUCCAGAACAUUAAUCUUAAUCUUAGUAUCCUGUUUAUUAGUUUUAGGUUGGGGUGACCGCGGAGUAAAAAUUAACCUCCAUAUUGAAUAGGACUUGUCCUUGAGCUAAGAACUACAGCCCUAAGCACCAAUAAAUUGACAUUAAUUGACCCAAUAUUUUGAUCAACGAACCAAGUUACCCUAGGGAUAACAGCGCAAUCCACUUCAAGAGCUCCUAUCGACAAGUGGGUUUACGACCUCGAUGUUGGAUCAGGGUAUCCCAGUGGUGCAGCCGCUACUAAAGGUUCGUUUGUUCAACGAUUAAAACCCUACGUGAUCU
rnacentral:rRNA from 1 species